rnacentral:ncRNA from 1 species
CUAUCUUUUACCCGCGCUUGCAAAAUCAAGCGCCGGGCUUGACCUCCUGAAUU